rnacentral:rRNA from 1 species
UACGUAGGGGGCAAGCGUUAUCCGGAAUUACUGGGUGUAAAGGGAGCGUAGACGGUAAAGUAAGUCUGGAGUGAAAGGCGGGGGCCCAACCCCCGGACUGCUCUGGAAACUAUGUUACUAGAGUGCAGGAGAGGUAAGCGGAAUUCCUAGUGUAGCGGUGAAAUGCGUAGAUAUUAGGAGGAACACCAGUGGCGAAGGCGGCUUACUGGACUGUAACUGACGUUGAGGCUCGAAAGCGUGGGGAGCAAACAGG